UACGGGGGGGGCAAGCGUUGUUCGGAAUUACUGGGCGUAAAGGGUUCGUAGGUGGCUUUCUUAGUCAGACGUGAAAUCCCUCAGCUCAACUCCAGAACUGCCUUUGAUACUGAGGAUCUCGAGUCCGGGAGAGGUGAGUGGAACUGCGAGUGUAGAGGUGAAAUUCGUAGAUAUUCGCAAGAACACCAGUGGCGAAGGCGGCUCACUGGCCCGGUACUGACGCUGAGGUGCGAAAGCGUGGGGAGCAAACAGG
rnacentral:rRNA from 1 species